ACGUUUAGCUGUCUUGAUUUUUUCAAGAACUUACUGCUCACAAAAUGUAUCUCCUUUCUCAAGCAUUCAUUAGUAGGCCAGUCUAUUGUUCUGAAGGUCAGCCAAUUUCAGAAGGCAUACCUUCGAUCAUCAAUGUUCGACUUAACUAUACAGAGGGGCAUUGAUAGUGAAGGCCAAAGCCUGAUUGCUUAAUUUUUGUAUUCAAAUUUUACAUAUGUGCAAGUUAUUUCUUUGAUAAUAUAACAAACUCGAAAUAUGAAUUAAAUUUUUUUGCUUCUUAAACUAUAUGAUCUGCUUUUUGGUAAGUUGAAAUGAGAUGGUACAUAUUAUGCACUAUGUAUCUUUACUCUCUACUAUGAAAUCAUUUCAUUGGAGAACUUCUAUUUCAAUUAGAUUGCAAGCUAAUGCUCGUAUAUAUUCAUUCAACAACAGCUACUUGAUUAACAUGUUUGGCUUCAAACAUCUUCUCGUAUUCCUUGAUCGAUCUAAACAGCUCAGAUAAGUUUCCCUUACCGAAGCCUCCACAACCGCCCUUCUGAUAGACUUGUCCUUUUUCAUCUUUGAGCAUGCACCCGAUUCUCUGAAUUAUUUCUAUAAAUAUUGUUGGCCUGCACAAAAAU